AAUAAACGCUGGCGGCGUGCCUAACACAUGCAAGUCGAACGAGAAAGCCCGAUUUCGGUUGGGCGAGUAAAGUGGCGCACGGGUGAGUAACGCGUAGGUAACCUGCCCCUGUGUUCGGGAUAACAGUGCGAAAGCGCUGCUAAUACCGGAUGUGGCCAAGAGACGGUGGUUUUUUGGUCAAAGUCGGCCUCUCAUAGAAGCUGACGCGCGGGGAUGGGCCUGCGUCCUAUCAGCUAGUUGGCAGGGUAACGGCCUACCAAGGCUUCGACGGGUAGCUGGUCUGAGAGGAUGAUCAGCCACACUGGCACUGAAACACGGGCCAGACUCCUACGGGAGGCAGCAGUGAGGAAUUUUGCGCAAUGGCCGCAAGGCUGACGCAGCAACGCCGCGUGGGUGAAGAAGGCCUUCGGGUCGUAAAGCCCUGUCAGGUGGGAAGAACGGCUGUGGGACGAAUAAUCCUGCAGAUUGACGGUACCACCAGAGGAAGCACCGGCUAACUCCGUGCCAGCAGCCGCGGUAAUACGGAGGGUGCAAGCGUUAUUCGGAAUUACUGGGCGUAAAGCGCGUGCAGGCGGGCGGACAAGUCUGAUGUGAAAGCCCCGGGCUCAACCUGGGAAGUGCAUUGGAAACUGUUCGUCUUGAGUUCUGGAGAGGAAGGGGGAAUUCCCGGUGUAGAGGUGAAAUUCGUAGAGAUCGGGAGGAAUACCAGUGGCGAAGGCGCCCUUCUGGACGGCAACUGACGCUGAGACGCGAAAGCGUGGGGAGCAAACAGGAUUAGAUACCCUGGUAGUCCACGCUGUAAACGAUGAGCACUAGGUGUAGCGGGUAAUCAUUCCUGCUGUGCCGCAGCUAACGCGUUAAGUGCUCCGCCUGGGGAUUACGGUCGCAAGACUA
rnacentral:rRNA from 1 species